rnacentral:rRNA from 1 species
AAUGAACGCUGGCGGCAGGCCUAAAACAUGCAAGUCGAACGCCCUAGCAAUAGGGAGUGGCGCACGGGUGAGUAACAUGUGGGAAUAUGCCUUUUGGUACGGAACAACGUUUGGAAACGAACGCUAAUACCGUAUGGUCCCUCCGGGGUAAAGAUUUAUCGCCAAAAGAUUAGCCCGCACUAGAUUAGCUAGUUGGUAAGGUAAUGGCUUACCAAGGCGACGAUCUAUAGCUGUUCUGAGAGGAAGAUCAGCCACACUGGGACUAAGACACGGCCCAGACUCGCACGGGAGGCAGCCGGUAGGAAGAUUGGACAAUGGGCGCAAGCCGGAUCCAGGCAUGCCGCGUGAGUGAUGAAGGCCUUCGGGUGGUAAAGCUCUUUAGCCGACGAAUAUAAUGACUGUAGUCGGAUAAUAAGCCCCGGCUAACUUCGUGCCAGCCGCCGCGGUAACAC